rnacentral:tRNA from 1 species
GGGCGUUUAGCUCAGUUGGGAGAGCGCUGCCUUCGCAUGGCAGAGGUCACGGGUUCAAAUCCCGUAAUGUCCA